UACGGGGGGGGCAAGCGUUGUUCGGAAUUACUGGGCGUAAAGGGUUUGUAGGUGGCCACUUAAGUCAGACGUGAAAUCCCUCAGCUUAACUGGGGAACUGCGUCUGAUACUGCGUGGCUUGAGUGCAGGAGAGGAACGCGGAAUUCCAGGUGUAGCGGUGAAAUGCGUAGAUAUCUGGAGGAACACCGGUGGCGAAGGCGGCGUUCUGGACUGUAACUGACACUGAAAAACGAAAGCCAGGGGAGCAAACGGG
rnacentral:rRNA from 1 species